CCUGAUGGCUCUGACGGUAAAGCGUCUGCCUGCAAUGCGGGAGACCCGGGUUCGAUCCCUGGGUCAGGA
rnacentral:tRNA from 1 species